rnacentral:rRNA from 1 species
UACGGAGGGUCCGAGCGUUAUCCGGAAUUAUUGGGUUUAAAGGGUCCGUAGGCGGGCCGAUAAGUCAGGGGUGAAAGUCUGCCGCUCAACGGUAGAACUGCCUUUGAUACUGUCGGUCUUGAGUUAUAGUGAAGUUGCCGGAAUAUGUAGUGUAGCGGUGAAAUGCAUAGAUAUUACAUAGAACACCGAUUGCGAAGGCAGGUGACUAACUAUAUACUGACGCUGAUGGACGAAAGCGUGGGGAGCGAACAGG